rnacentral:rRNA from 1 species
GACGAACGCUGGCGGCGUGCUUAACACAUGCAAGUCGAACGCGUGGCGCACGGGUGAGUCCUACGUGAGUACCCUGCCCUCUUUUUGGGAUAAGCCUUGGAAAAGGGGUCUAAUACCGGAUAAAGGGGUAUUGGUUCGCGGCAUAUCAGCUUGUUGGUGGGGUGAUGGCCUACCAAGGCGGUGACGGGUAGCCGGCCUGAGAGGGUGAACGGCCACAGAGGGACUGAGAUGCGGCCCAGACUCCUACGGGAGGCAGCAGUGGGGGAUAGUGACCAAUGGGCGAAAGCCUGAUGCAGCGACGCCGCGUGGGGGAUGAAGGCGUUCGGGUUGUAAACAUCUUUCGCUAGCGAACGGGUAGGUGGAGAAGAAGCGCCGGCUAACUACGUGCCAGCCGCCGCGGUAAUUC